AGAGUUUGAUCCUGGCUCAGGACGAACGCUGGCGGCGUGCUUAACACAUGCAAGUCGAACGAAGAUACCGAGUGCUUGCACUUGGUAGACUGAGUGGCGGACGGGUGAGUAACGCGUGAGCAACCUGCCCAUAAGAGGGGGACAGCAGCUGGAAACGGCUGCUAAUACCGCAUAAGACCACACUAGCACAUGCUAGAGGGGUAAAAGAUUUAUCGCUUAUGGAUGGGCUCGCGUCCCAUUAGCUAGUUGGUGAGGUAACGACCCACCAAGGCGACGAUGGGUAGCCGACCUGAGAGGGUGAUCGGCCACACUGGAACUGAGACACGGUCCAGACUCCUACGGGAGGCAGCA
rnacentral:rRNA from 1 species